rnacentral:rRNA from 1 species
CAGAGGUCACUGCUAUYAGKGAUUSGACUAAGCCAUGCGAGUCAAAUGUUCUUCGUGAACAUGGCGUACUGCUCAGUAACACGUGGACAACCUGCCCUAAGGUCUGGCAUAACUCCGGGAAACUGGGGAUAAUUCCAGAUAAACCAUGGAUACUGGAAUGUACUGUGGUUAAAAGCUCCGGUGCCUUAGGAUGGAUCUGCGGCCUAUCAGGUAGUAGUGGGUGUAAUGUACCUACUAGCCUACGACGGGUACGGGUUGUGAGAGCAAGAGCCCGGAGAUGGAUUCUGAGACAUGAAUCCAGGCCCUACGGGGCGCAGCAGGCGCGAAAACUUUACAAUGCGGGAAACCGCGAUAAGGGGACACUGAGUGCCAGCACCAUGUGCUGGCUGUCCGCAUGUAUAAAUCACAUGUGUCAGCAAGGGCCGGGCAAGACCGGUGCCAGCCGCCGCGGUAACACCGGCGGCCCGAGUGGUGGCCAUUAUUAUUGGGUCUAAAGGGUCCGUAGCCGGUUUGAUCAGUCUUCCGGGAAAUCUGACAGCUCAACUGUUAGGCUUCUGGGGGAUACUGUCAGACUUGGAACCGGGAGAGGUAAGAGGUACUACAGGGGUAGGAGUGAAAUCUUGUAAUCCUUGUGGGACCACCAGUGGCGAAGGCGUCUUACCAGAACGGGUUCGACGGUGAGGGACGAAAGCUGGGGGCACGAACCGGAUUAGAUACCCGGGUAGUCCCAGCCGUAAACGAUGCUCGCUAGGUGUCUGGGAUGGUGCGACCGUUUCASGUGCCGCAGGGAAGCCGUGAAGCGAGCCACCUGGGAAGUACGGCCGCAAGGCUGAAMYUAAAGGAAUUGGCGGGGGAGCACUACCAWYGGGUGGAGCCUGCGGUUAAUUG